CUUGUGCCAAGCAGCCGCGGUAAUUCCAGCUCCAAUAGCGUAUAUUAAAGUUGUUGUGGUUAAAAAGCUCGUAGUUGGAUCUCAACAGCCUUGAAGCGGUUAACUUUGUAGUUUUACUGCUUUAUAGGCUGUGCUUUUGCUGGAGGUUUAGGGGUGCUCUUGAUCGAGUGUCUCUGGAUGCCAGCAGGUUUACUUUGAAAAAAUUAGAGUGCUCAAAGCAGGCUAAAAUGCCUGAAUAUUCGUGCAUGGAAUAAUAGAAUAGGAUGUCGAUCCUAUUUUGUUGGUUUUCGGGACUCGACAUAAUGAUAAAUAGGGACAGUCGGGGGCAUUUGUAUUCAAACGACAGAGGUGAAAUUCUUGGACCGUUUGAAGACAAACUACUGCGAAAGCAUUUGCCAAGAAUGUUUUCAUUAAUCAAGAACGAAAGUUAGAGGUUCGAAGGCGAUUAGAUACCGCCCUAGUUCUAACCAUAAACGAUGCCAGCUAGCGAUCUGCCUGCGUUUUUACUGUAGACUGGGCAGGAAGCUUCCGGGAAACCAAAGCAUUUGGGUUCCAGGGGAAGUAUGGUUGCAAAGCUGAAACUUAAAGGAAUUGACGGAAGGGCACCACCAGGAGUGGAGCCUGUGGCUUAAUUUGACUCAACACGGGAAAUCUCACCAGGCCCGGACACUGGAAGGAUUGACAGAUUGAUAGCUCUUUCUUGAUUCGGUGGGUGGUGGUGCAUGGCCGUUCUUAGUUGGUGGAGUGAUUUGUCUGGUUAAUUCCGAUAACGAACGAGACUCUGUCCUGCUAAAUAGUUUCUACUUCUCUUUUGAGUAGAAAUUUCUUCUUAGAGGGACUGGUGACUCUUAGUCACACGAGAUUGAGCAAUAACAGGUCUGUGAUGC
rnacentral:rRNA from 1 species